rnacentral:lncRNA from 1 species
UUCCAUGAAAAGAAGGCUCCGAAACAGUUGCAAAGGAAGUGUGAAUUUGAUAUAGAGCCAUGAUUGGAGGUCGACUGAGCACUGAAUUUGGACAAAUAAAUUGUGGGUUUUGCAGAGGGAUGCCAUUAAAGCUUGGAGGAGGAGGAGCUCGAUUGAGCGGAGGCUCUAAUGAAGCAGGAUUUGUAGAAGAAAUUGGAGGAGAAGAAAAGGGAAAG